GGGAUGUUCGAUAUAGCACCGCUAGAUGUCGUAAUUGUGUUCAGCCCACAGAUCCAGAUAACUGAGGACACCACUCACGAACAGCUACUGACUAGCUCGAGUCAAUAGAUAUGCAGCUGGAAGCUGUUCAUCGACAGAUGAUGGAGCAGCCUCCAGCAAGUAAUAAUGACAUGGCUUAGCAGCACACGUGAGGAUCAAGGAGAUCAGUCCUAUCUCUUGCUCCUAUUCGACGACUCUGAUGAAAUUUUUGAUGGUGUGGUCGAAUAACCUGACGAAUUGUUUAUGCCUUGAAGCCAGAGCCAAAAAGCGGUCGUGCCUAAACAUGGCGGUGUCACACGUGUACGGGCGGUGGCGGCGGCUCACCCCUCAUUGAAGCAGCGUCUGCAAAGGCAAGCGUCAGGGCACGGUUAGGUGCCGCACGCGAAGCCCACGCCACAGUGACCACGGCUCCUGCACCAGGACCCGACCCCACACGCAGGUGCUCUCACUGGGGACCGCCCGGUAGCCGGAGCAUCGCACUCUGGGUCCCAUCGCCGCAGCCCGUUUGCUCCAGCUGGCAGUCACUGCCUCCUCCUCAGCCAGCUCACCCCCGCCGCCAGCUCAAGGUUCGUGUCCCGACACGCAUACCCCUCCCGGUAAAUGACACGUCAUCACGGCCCCAUCAUCGACCAGCUGGACCCCUAGUUCUAGUAGUACGGUCAGUAAUAGUAACUAUCCUGUGGCUAGUGGUAGUGCUCUCCCCCAUCCUAUCAAUAGUGAUUUGGAUCAGAAUAAUGGCAUAGUGACCCCCCUAGAAUACUCGGCGGCUGCUAGGACUCAUAGGGGCGCAUUUCGUUUACUAGAACUGAGAAUGUGGGAGGGAGGUAUCACAACCCUGUUGGGUAUUUAGAGGCGUGCCUCCUUGUCUUGGAGACUGAGCUCCUAGAAGAUCCGAGAUUUAACGCCAUUAAAUGCAAAGCAGUAUUAUGCUGCAAAUUGAGUCACCUAACAUCAAGAUGACGCAGAGAUAACGACUUUGCACUAUACAUGGGGUGCUAAUUGCAUUAUUUCUCGGAGCACAUCCAUUGCUGAGUGGUAUCGAGAAUCCACCUUGAGCGCUAUUAUAGUCCGAUUCUCCGAGAUGGAAGUAUGUGGGAGUAGUGGGGUACCUGUGUACUGUCUCACUCUGGAUUGUUGCCAAAUUCAUUCACGAUCGUGGCCAGAACAGCAUCCAAGAUGGCAGCAUGUAGACUUGGCAACAGUGGAUUUUGGCGGGAAAAUAGUUCAAUUGUGCUAUCUCUACUAAUCUAACCCCCAGAAAAUGGCAGGGAAUUCGAAUUUUGGCUUGAAAAUAGGCCAACUGGGCUAUGUCUACUAACCUGGUCGGUCGGCAGCUCAGACCACUGAACAUGUUUUGCUCUUUCGAACUUGUCCAUGCUGACGUCAAAAAGGUCCAUUGUCCUUUCACCACGUGUAUUCAUCACCGUACCACACUUUUGGCGCGAAAGUUGUUUUCCUGGACACGUUCAAACCCACCGAUGCUGACGUCAUGCUACAGUUCGCCAUCCGCUGUCUGUGCGACCAAGAAUGCCCUGCCACACUUUUGGCACCAAAGUUGUUUCCUUGAGACUGCAAACUUCCAUGACUGUACAACAGCAUGUUUGUUCGCCACGAGACCCGUUGCUUAGUUAAUUGAUCACACGACUCUCAUUAUUCAAUCCACGUGAUCGCACCGUCUAAUCCAAAAUUGUCCCGAAAAACACACACCUGUAUACGUGAGCCAUCGCUUUCGUCUAUUUAAUGUAACGCAAAGUUCUCAACUCAAAUCGCUAUUUAAACAAAAAUAAGAACUCAUUCAAUAUAGAGCCCUCCUACCUGCAAGUGAAUCUAACACAAAGUUCCCAACUCAAAUCCCAGUCUACACUUAACCUUCUCAUUAUUCAUACAACAUUCUCUCUUUACCAAGAAAAAAAAAAAACAUAACUAACAAUAUUCAUCUCCAGACUUUCCAAAUAAUUUCCUUCAGCACUUACUGACGCCAUUCUUAGUACCAUCAAUCUCGAAUUACACUUAUAUAACACACUUUUUAAUAAUAAACCAUUCAUCCUAACACAAUACCUCCUAAUACACACACAAACUAUGACCUCAAAUCCUGAAUUCACAACCAUCCAGUCUCUAUUCUAAAGAGCAUCAAUUAAUUGUCUAUAAUUUUAUACAUUAUAUAAUGCUCAGCUCUCCACCAUGUCCUGGAAGCAUCUGACUAGUCCAGCUUUCAGCUACUAGGGGUGCUAGUGAACUCAAUUACCACCCCCACAGAAUUCUCAACAGCCAUUGGUUCAUCCUAAGAUCACAUCGUACUACAUAAUCACACAUAUACAGGUGCGGCCAAACUUUCAGGAAACAUUCCUCGCACACAAAUAAAGAAAAGAUGUUAUGUGGACAUGUGUCCGGAAACUCUUAAUUUCCAUGUUAGAGCUCAUUUUAGUUUGUUCUUCCACCUACGUUCAAUGGAGCACGUUAUCAUGAUUUCAUACGCGAUACUGUACCUGUGCUGCUAGAACAUGUGCCUUUACAAGUACGACACAACAUGUGGUUCAUGCACGAUGGAGCUCCUGCACAUUUCAGUCGAAGUGUCCGUACGUUUCUCAGCGGUGACCGAUGGAUUGGUAGAGGCGGACCAAUUCCAUGGCCUCCAUGCUCUCCUGACCUCAACCCUCUUGACUUUGAUUUAUGGGGGCAUUUGAAAGCUCUUGACUACCCAACCCCGGUACCAAAUGUAGAGACUCUUCGUGCUCGUAUUGUGGAUGGCUGUGAUACAAUACACCAUUCUCCAGGGCUGCAUCAGCGCAUCGGGGAUUCCAUGAGACGGAGGGUGAAUGCAUGUAUCCUCGCUAAUGGAAGACAUUUUGAACAUUUCCUGUAACAAAGUGUUUGAAGUCACGUUGGUACGUUCUGUUGUUGUGUGUUUCCAUUCCAUGAUUAAUGUGAUUUGAAGAGAAGUAAUAAAAUGAGCUCUAACGUGGAAAGUAAGCGUUUCCGGACACAUGUCCACAUAACAUAUUUUCUUUCUUUAUGUGUGAGGAAUGUUUCCUGAAAGUUUGGACGUACCUUUUUGUAACACCCUGUAUAAGGAGUCACCCCCUGGUCAUCUUUCUCACUCAUCUGUUGUCCGCCACAUCGUUCGUUUGUUUUCCCAUGCUUUUUCGUUGUUAUUUGCGAAUAUGACAAGAUGCGGGCGCCGGUUUUCUGCGAUGGAAGUCAACGGCUCAGCUAAGGCACAGAGCCAAAUUCUACACCUGGACAUCCAUAUUCAUGAUCCAUGAUCUGUUAAAUGGAGCGUCUAGCUAUAUUAAGCUCCCUCAAGAUACAGCUAAUAAGCAGGCACGCAUUAAUGUCCAAAAUACAAAAGGUCAGGCUUGUUUUGCAUGGUCAAUCCCGGAUUGCUAGAGAAAGUACGAUAAAAGAGAUAGCCCUUAUUAUUACGAGUUACAAGGUCAGUGAUAUUAGCACAUAUUGUAAGUUUGAUGGUACUGAGUUCCCCGUUAGGGUCCAGGACAUACCUAAAUUUGAGGAACAGAAUACUGGCAUAUCGGUACACGUUUAGGGCCUGGAUAAGAAGACAAGCAAGUCAGAUGAGCAACACACGCAUAUCGUAAUCGGCCCCCUCCAUUUCUCAAAAUUUGCCGGUGAGCGAGAGCUGCUUUUAAAUAUGAUGCUCUUGUCUGAAGGUGACAAUUACCACUAUGUUUGAAUCAAGGACAUGUCCCAACUCCUAUCGACCCAACUAUCAAAAGAUACCUAUAAAAAGCAUAUUUGAUUAUGGUGCCUCAAUUAUAUCUUCUCAGAUGAGUCAUUAGCUACACAUCUAGUAGACCGCACCUCCAAGGAUGCAGUACAUGUUAUUAUGCCUACUGAGGAAAACAAAUUCAUAAAGUUUAAGAAUGUUCACCACCAGGAACGAUGUCCGUUUGUAGUGUACGCCGACUUUGAGUGCCUCCUCGCUCCUGUGACCAGCUGUGAAAGCGACCCGACCCUAUGACCUCACACACCACCUUUACAGAGAAACACGUACCAUAUGCAGCGGUGUACUAAGUUAUAUCGUCAUAUGACUCCAACCGUAACUGAUUCAAAUCUUAUGUCAGGGAUAAUCCUGCGGUUUGGUUGCUCUCUGAGCUUGAAAAAGUUUCACAGGAGUUUGAUCAGCUUUAUGUCGGCAACGUUCCCAUGACCAAAUCGAAGAAGAAUGAAGAUGUAUAUAAUAACGCCGCUGGUUGUCAUAUUUGUGGGCUGCCUUUAGACAGAAAAGCGGAAAGGGACCACUGUCAUCUUACGGGGAAAUUUCACAGUGCAGCUCACAACGCAUGCAAUUUGAAGUACCAGUUACCUAGACACUUCUUCCACAAUUUAAGUGGGAAUGACGCUCACUUUCUAGUUGAGCACUUGGCCGUAUUCGGUUUGGAGAAAGAUCAGGUGAGUGUCCUACCUGAGAGCGUCGAAAAGUAUAUUUCAUUCUCCAAACGAAUGACGUCGAGAAUUGCGCUCUGCUUCCUUGAUACGCCACGUUUUAUGCAGACACCUCUACAGAAACUUGUUGAGACACUACCUCGUGGGGAAAUGCAUAUCACUCGAGCUGCAUUUCCCAACGAGGAAAAGUUUCGACUUGUGACUAUGAAGGGGGUUUUCCCAUAGGAGUAUGUGGAUAAUAUGGCCAAACUCAAUGAAACGACGCUACCCGACAUAACUCCAUUCUCCAGCAGUCUCACAGGCGACGCCAUAACGAAUGCAGAGUAUGAGCAUGCCGUGAAUGGUUGAAAUGGCUCUGAGCUCUAUGGCACUUAACUUCUGAGGUCAUCAGUCCCCUAGAACUUUGAAGUACACUCCUGGAAAUGGAAAAAAGAACACAUUGACACCGAUGUGUCAGACCCACCAUACUUCCUCCGGACACUGCGAGAGGGCUGU